ensembl:lncRNA
GCCCACCCAUGUCACACAGGGGUAAUAAUAACCUGCUUUACCAAAGUCCACUGAUUUAAAUGUACGUCUCAUUUCCAAACAUCCUCACAGGAACACCCAGAAUGACGUUUGGCCAAAUAUCCAGGCAGCAAGGCCCAGCCGCGUCUGUACGUGAGAUGAAGCACCACAGGGAGGUUCUCAGGCCUUCCAGGACCUCCGUUCCAGGACAAUGAGGCUCCUCCAUGUCUUCCUCACCGCUCUCUUGAUCCUCUUCCAGACAGCACUAGGGUGCUCAAUUUUGAAAGACCCUGCCAUCUUCGGGGUGGAAUCUGCCUGAAGCAAGGGAUGCCGAGCUGUGAGCCCUUCAGAGGACCCUGCGGGCAUCCACCGUUUGCUGCAAAAUAAAGUCGAGCUGAUGGAGGCA